GGGUUGUGAGGUUAAGCGACUAAGCGUACACGGUGGAUGCCCUGGCAGUCAGAGGCGAUGAAGGACGUGCUAAUCUGCGAUAAGCGUCGGUAAGGUGAUAUGAACCGUUAUAACCGGCGAUUUCCGAAUGGGGAAACCCAGUGUGUUUCGACACACUAUCAUUAACUGAAUCCAUAGGUUAAUGAGGCGAACCGGGGGAACUGAAACAUCUAAGUACCCCGAGGAAAAGAAAUCAACCGAGAUUCCCCCAGUAGCGGCGAGCGAACGGGGAGCAGCCCAGAGCCUGAAUCAGUAUGUGUGUUAGUGGAAGCGUCUGGAAAGGCGCGCGAUACAGGGUGACAGCCCCGUACACAAAAAUGCACAUGCUGUGAGCUCGAUGAGUAGGGCGGGACACGUGGUAUCCUGUCUGAAUAUGGGGGGACCAUCCUCCAAGGCUAAAUACUCCUGACUGACCGAUAGUGAACCAGUACCGUGAGGGAAAGGCGAAAAGAACCCCGGCGAGGGGAGUGAAAAAGAACCUGAAACCGUGUACGUACAAGCAGUGGGAGCACGCUUAGGCGUGUGACUGCGUACCUUUUGUAUAAUGGGUCAGCGACUUAUAUUCUGUAGCAAGGUUAACCGAAUAGGGGAGCCGAAGGGAAACCGAGUCUUAACUGGGCGUUAAGUUGCAGGGUAUAGACCCGAAACCCGGUGAUCUAGCCAUGGGCAGGUUGAAGGUUGGGUAACACUAACUGGAGGACCGAACCGACUAAUGUUGAAAAAUUAGCGGAUGACUUGUGGCUGGGGGUGAAAGGCCAAUCAAACCGGGAGAUAGCUGGUUCUCCCCGAAAGCUAUUUAGGUAGCGCCUCGUGAAUUCAUCUCCGGGGGUAGAGCACUGUUUCGGCAAGGGGGUCAUCCCGACUUACCAACCCGAUGCAAACUGCGAAUACCGGAGAAUGUUAUCACGGGAGACACACGGCGGGUGCUAACGUCCGUCGUGAAGAGGGAAACAACCCAGACCGCCAGCUAAGGUCCCAAAGUCAUGGUUAAGUGGGAAACGAUGUGGGAAGGCCCAGACAGCCAGGAUGUUGGCUUAGAAGCAGCCAUCAUUUAAAGAAAGCGUAAUAGCUCACUGGUCGAGUCGGCCUGCGCGGAAGAUGUAACGGGGCUAAACCAUGCACCGAAGCUGCGGCAGCGACGCUGAUGCGUUGUUGGGUAGGGGAGCGUUCUGUAAGCCUGCGAAGGUGUGCUGUGAGGCAUGCUGGAGGUAUCAGAAGUGCGAAUGCUGACAUAAGUAACGAUAAAGCGGGUGAAAAGCCCGCUCGCCGGAAGACCAAGGGUUCCUGUCCAACGUUAAUCGGGGCAGGGUGAGUCGACCCCUAAGGCGAGGCCGAAAGGCGUAGUCGAUGGGAAACAGGUUAAUAUUCCUGUACUUGGUGUUACUGCGAAGGGGGGACGGAGAAGGCUAUGUUGGCCGGGCGACGGUUGUCCCGGUUUAAGCGUGUAGGCUGGUUUUCCAGGCAAAUCCGGAAAAUCAAGGCUGAGGCGUGAUGACGAGGCACUACGGUGCUGAAGCAACAAAUGCCCUGCUUCCAGGAAAAGCCUCUAAGCAUCAGGUAACAUCAAAUCGUACCCCAAACCGACACAGGUGGUCAGGUAGAGAAUACCAAGGCGCUUGAGAGAACUCGGGUGAAGGAACUAGGCAAAAUGGUGCCGUAACUUCGGGAGAAGGCACGCUGAUAUGUAGGUGAAGUCCCUCGCGGAUGGAGCUGAAAUCAGUCGAAGAUACCAGCUGGCUGCAACUGUUUAUUAAAAACACAGCACUGUGCAAACACGAAAGUGGACGUAUACGGUGUGACGCCUGCCCGGUGCCGGAAGGUUAAUUGAUGGGGUUAGCGCAAGCGAAGCUCUUGAUCGAAGCCCCGGUAAACGGCGGCCGUAACUAUAACGGUCCUAAGGUAGCGAAAUUCCUUGUCGGGUAAGUUCCGACCUGCACGAAUGGCGUAAUGAUGGCCAGGCUGUCUCCACCCGAGACUCAGUGAAAUUGAACUCGCUGUGAAGAUGCAGUGUACCCGCGGCAAGACGGAAAGACCCCGUGAACCUUUACUAUAGCUUGACACUGAACAUUGAGCCUUGAUGUGUAGGAUAGGUGGGAGGCUUUGAAGUGUGGACGCCAGUCUGCAUGGAGCCGACCUUGAAAUACCACCCUUUAAUGUUUGAUGUUCUAACGUUGACCCGUAAUCCGGGUUGCGGACAGUGUCUGGUGGGUAGUUUGACUGGGGCGGUCUCCUCCUAAAGAGUAACGGAGGAGCACGAAGGUUGGCUAAUCCUGGUCGGACAUCAGGAGGUUAGUGCAAUGGCAUAAGCCAGCUUGACUGCGAGCGUGACGGCGCGAGCAGGUGCGAAAGCAGGUCAUAGUGAUCCGGUGGUUCUGAAUGGAAGGGCCAUCGCUCAACGGAUAAAAGGUACUCCGGGGAUAACAGGCUGAUACCGCCCAAGAGUUCAUAUCGACGGCGGUGUUUGGCACCUCGAUGUCGGCUCAUCACAUCCUGGGGCUGAAGUAGGUCCCAAGGGUAUGGCUGUUCGCCAUUUAAAGUGGUACGCGAGCUGGGUUUAGAACGUCGUGAGACAGUUCGGUCCCUAUCUGCCGUGGGCGCUGGAGAACUGAGGGGGGCUGCUCCUAGUACGAGAGGACCGGAGUGGACGCAUCACUGGUGUUCGGGUUGUCAUGCCAAUGGCACUGCCCGGUAGCUAAAUGCGGAAGAGAUAAGUGCUGAAAGCAUCUAAGCACGAAACUUGCCCCGAGAUGAGUUAUCCAUGACUCCUUGAGAGACCUGAAGGAACGUUGAAGACGACGACGUUGAUAGGCCGGGUGUGUAAGCGCAGCGAU
rnacentral:rRNA from 1 species